rnacentral:rRNA from 1 species
CAGAUGUGAAAGACCCGGGGCGUCAACCUCGGAAUUGCAUUUGAAACUAGGCAGACUAGAGUACUGUAGAGGGGGGUAGGAAGUUUACAGGUGUAGCGGUGAAAUAGCGUAGAGAUCUGAAGGAAUACCGGUGGCGAAGGCGGCCCCCUCGGACAGAUACUGACACUCAGAUGCGAAAGCGUGGGGAGCAAACAGGAUUAGAUACCCUGGUAG